AACGAACGCUGGCGGCAGGCCUAACACAUGCAAGUCGAACGGACGUAGCAAUACGUUAGUGGCUCACGGGAGAGUAACGCGUGGGAACCUACCUUUUGGUUCGGGAUAACAUCGGGAAACUGGUGCUAAUACCGGAUAAGCCCUUCGGGGGAAAGAUUUAUUGCCGAAAGAUGGGCCCGCGUUGGAUUAGCUAGUUGGUGAGGUAAUGGCUCACCAAGGCAACGAUCCAUAGCUGGUCUGAGAGGAUGAUCAGCCUCACUGGGACUGAGACACGGCCCAGACUCCUACGGGAGGCAGCAGUGGGGAAUAUUGGACAAUGGGGGAAACCCUGAUCCAGCCAUGCCGCGUGAAUGAUGAAGGCCUUCGGGUUGUAAAGUUCUUUUGGUGGGGACGAUGAUGACGGUACCCACAGAAUAAGCUCCGGCUAACUUCGUGCCAGCCGCCGCAGUAA
rnacentral:rRNA from 1 species